GUGUGCCCUAAGCUGCCAGACUCCCUAAGGCACCAGGACCCUCGGCCAGGGUGGCAGGACCCUUGGCUGCAGCCUCCCUUCUCACCUCAAGGUGGAAGCACCUGGUUUGGAAGACUUCUCAAGAGCCCGAGCACCAAAGGACUCACGGCUGGCUCCUGGUUAAGGUGCAGCGUGAAUUGGCACUGCCAGGCAGCCGGAAGGCUGGAUAAACGCACCGACCUCCCAGCUCCAAGCACCCCCAAGACUCAGUGGUGCAGCCCCAAAGGCCCCAUGGAAGCGGCCUAACCUGGGCUUCACAGCCCCAGGGCUCCUCGCCCGGGUCAGGAGGGAGGAGCUGGCCCCAUCUCCAGUUCAGCGCCAGCACAGGACAGCCGCUGGGCCCUGGGCCUCUGAACCUGAGUGUGGUCCUUGGGGACAGCCUCCCUAUGCAUCUGAGUGUGGCGUGCACCCCGACAGGUCCUGUGAAUCUGGUCACAGGUGGCAAGGAGGAAACCCCAGAGUCCUUGCACGGAGUCCAGUCCACCAGGUGUAUAAUUCAAGCAGCUCAGAUGGACUGCAGCAAGGUGUAUAUGCAACCAAC